CUAUCUGUGUAAAUGUUG
rnacentral:misc_RNA from 1 species